rnacentral:rRNA from 1 species
AUGUCGAUCCGCCGCCUGCGCGCUUCGAAUUUUUGCGGAGUCCGCGAGCGCCGCUCCGGCGCCUUCUCCGUCGAGAUCUGGUUUUGCGAGAAACGUCUCGUCCUCGGCACCUUCGACACCACAGAGGAGGCGGCCCACGCGCACGACGCGGCGGAGUGGCGCCUCCUGAGGCCUCGUCGGGAUAUGAAUUUUCCCAACAUAUCGAGCCAGCGGGCGCAGGAUCUGGCGCCUCUCCCGCGGCUUUUCACCGACGAGGAUCGUCGUGUCCACCGGAGGCGGCAGCGUCGCCUCGCCAUCGCAGAGAAGGACGUGGAAGCCUUGGUGCUGUGGUGCGGAGGCUACCCGCAGGACAUCGUCGACGAGUGCCAAUUCUACAAGCAAUUGAGAUCGGAGAGGGACACGAGGAGGAGGGAGCGAGCCGCCUAUCGGGAGGACAAGCGUUCGCAGAAGCAGGCAGCUCAAUUGAAACUGAAACUACAAGAAACAUCAGGUUGGGACUUUGAAAACGAGCAACUUGCUGACGCCUGCCUUCAAACGUCGGAGGAGGACAUUACGGAGUCGGAGUCAGAAAUCGACGAGUAG